CAGACAGCGCUCGUCCCGUGUUCUCCUUUGUCCAUGUUUUUUUGGCGCUGUUCUAAAAUGAAAUUUUCUUGUGUGCGUGUAGGACUGGUAGGCAGCAAGGCUCCUCCCGUGGGAGAGUCCAGUGUGGGCCACCAGCUGCUCCGGCGGCUUGGCUGGGAGCCCGGUCGGGGGCUGGGGCCAGCCGGUGCAGGGGUACUGCUGCCGGUGCCGGCGCAUGUUCGUCCACGAGGUCGCCCGGGGCUGGGGUUUGCACCCCCACCACCGCCACCCCCGUCGCCACAGCCGUUGCCCACGGUGCAGCAGCCCAACGUGGAGGGGGCCUCCCUCUCCAGCUGACCAACCCUGCAGCCUCGUUCUCCCCCCACACUGCCUGCUGGCCGACAACGUCGCCGAGCCCGGAAUCUCACAAUGCCAGCCACCUGAGGUCUGAAGGCAGCACUUUUCCCGAGCCCUGCUGGCUACAGCUGCUGCAAAGGGGUCUGUAUGCAAAGCAUCCUUGAUUCGCAAGGCCAGGCAUCUUGUGGAGUCAUUAUCACUGCCCGAUGGAAACAUACUGCACAUGUUUCUAGCACGCUGAGCCUUUUUGAUGGUGAACUGGACGUUCAUGUGUGCGUGUGACUCAGUGGUGGACCAAGUGAAAAGAAGAAAUGCUUACCUGGUGGUUUUUGGUGACCCGAGGAACAAGUGGGCUACGUUUCCUUCGACCUGCCUGCCAACCGUAUUGUUUUGGCAGAGCAGGUGUCUCGUCUCUCUUGUAUAAUGAUGGUUAGAAUUCCUAGAUGCACAGCCUUUUGUGGUAAGUUUUUACUGCCAUUCACAUGCUUUCAUGGUAUCAUUGUUGCUCCAUUUUCAUGGAAUGAUUUACCAUUCGACCUUAGUUCUCUUUGUACAUUUUUUUUUUUUGCUGAUGGUUAUGGUUGGCUUCAAUUUGCUUUAUUUAAUAGGAAAAACAAAAUUAAACCAGUAAACACAUUCUCGCUCUCCUUAUUAUAUGGUGUCUUCUGUGAUCACAGGUUAUUAAAGUGCAGUGACUAUGCAUUGACUGCACUUCUUGAUCGGUUGAUGAUAAGGGAUGUGAUGGGGCACCAUUGUACAGAUAGCAGCCAUGUUGUCCCUUUUGUUUCCUUCAAUGCCAGCUCAUCAUAAUAAAGCAUUUUGCAUUAAUGCAAAGUCGUAAUGCUUUGUCCAGUAUUGCAGUGAAAUGAUCUUCACUUCUUCACUUUUGGUCAUUGAAAUUUGUUCUUCAAAUAUCUGAAGACUCGUAGUAACAAUAUGAUUUUUCUGAUUAACUUGCACACUAAAAUGUCCUUGCAUUUUUUUCCGCCAUCAUGUUGCUCUCAUUGGCAGUCUUGACACUGAUUUUUUUACUGCAAAACAUGACCUAAUAAAUGGGCCAGUGGUCUUCAUUGGUGAA